rnacentral:rRNA from 1 species
UUCUGAUUACGUGUGCUCGGGCAUCGAUGAUAACAAGAGGUUUGAUCAUAACCAGCGAUUGAACGCUGGCGGGAUGCUUUACAUACCGUAAGUCGAACGGCAGCACGGCACGGUCUGGUGGCGAGUGGCGAACGGGUGAGUAAUGUAUCCGGAACGUGCCUAGUAGCGGGGGAUAACUACGCGAAGGCGUAGCUAAUACCGCAUACGCCUAUUCGAGGAAAGCGGGGACCUUCAUGGGCCUCGCACUAUUAAGCGGCCGAUAUCGGAUUAGCUAGUUGGUGGGGUAACGGCUCACCAAGGCGACGAUCCGUAGCUGGUUUGAGAGGACGACCAGCCACACUGGGACGGGGCGGCAGACUCCUACGGGAGGCAGCAGUGGGGAAUUUUGGACAAUGGGAAACCUGAAUCAAGCCAUCCCGCGUGUGCGAUGAAGGUAUUUCGGGUUGUAAAGCACUUUUGGCAGGAAAGAAACGGCGGGAUAAUACCCCGUACAACUGACGUACCUGCAAGAAUAAGCACCGGCUAACUACGUGCCAGCAGCCGCGGUAAUAUACGUGAGAUUCGGCGGUGUUAUUAAUCGGAAUUACUGGGCGUAAAGCGUGCGUGGUUCGGAAAGAAAGAUGUGAAGAAGCUCCAAACGCUUUGGAACUGCAUUUUUAACUACCGAGCUAGAGUGUCAGAGGAGGUGGAAUUCCGCGUGUAGCAGUGAAAUGCGUAGAUAUGCGGAGGAACACCGAUGGCGAAGGCAGCCUCCUGGGAUAACAUGACGCUCAUGCACGAAAGCGUGGGGAGCAAACGGGAUUAGAUACCCUGGUAGUCCACGCCUAAACUGAUCGACUGCUUGUUAUUGGGGUCUUCGGGCCUUAGUAGCGCAGCUAACGCGUGAAGUUGACCGCCUGGGGAGUACGUCGCAAGAUUAAAACUCAAAGGAAUUGGCCGCGGGGACCGCACAAGCGGUGGAUGAUGUGGAUAAUUCGAUGCAACGCAAGAAAAACCUUACCUACCUUGACAUGUCUGGAAUCCCGAAGAGAUUUGGGAGUGCUCGCAAGAGAACCGGAACACAGGUGCUGCAUGGCUGUCGUCAACUCAUUAUGUUGAGAUGUUCGGGUUAAGUCCCGCAACGAGCGCAACCCUUGUCAUUAGUUGCUACGGGCACUCAUGCUGGACUGCCCCGGUGAUGUCGGAGGAAGGUGGGGAUGACGUCAAGUCCUCCUUGGCCCUUAUGGGUAGGGCCACACGUCAUACAAUGGUCGGGACAGAGGUCCGUAACCCGCGAGGGGGAGCCAAUCCGAAACCCCACGAUCGUAGUCCGGAUCACAGUCUGCAACUCGACUGCGUGAUCAGGAAUCGCUAGUAAUCGCGGAUCAGCAUGUCGCGGUGAAUACGUUCAGGUCUUGUACACACCGCCCGUCACACCAUGGGAGUGGGUUUUACUAAGUACUUCUGGAUUAGCCUAACCGUAAGGAGGGCGAUCACCACGGUAGGAUUCCUGACCUUGGGUGAAGUCGUAACAGUACAAC